UACGAAGGGGACUAGCGUUGUUCGGAAUCACUGGGCGUAAAGCGCACGUAGGCGGAUGUGUCAGUCAGGGGUGAAAUCCCGGGGCUCAACCUCGGAACUGCCUUUGAUACAGCACGUCUCGAGUCCGGAAGAGGUGGGUGGAAUUCCUAGUGUAGAGGUGAAAUUCGUAGAUAUUAGGAAGAACACCGGUGGCGAAGGCGGCCCACUGUCCGGUACUGACGCUGAGGCUGCGAAAGCGUGGGGAGCAAACAGG
rnacentral:rRNA from 1 species